UUUUCGGAUCGUAAAACUCUGUUGUUAGAGAAGAACGUCAGUGAGAGUGGAAAGUUCACUGAGUGACGGUAUCUAACCAGAAAGGGACGGCUAACUACGUGCCAGCAGCCGCGGUAAUACGUAGGUCCCGAGCGUUGUCCGGAUUUAUUGGGCGUAAAGCGAGCGCAGGUGGUUUAAUAAGUCUGAUGUAAAAGGCAGUGGCUCAACCAUUGUGUGCAUUGGAAACUGUUAGACUUGAGUGCAGUAGAGGAGAGUGGAAUUCCAUGU
rnacentral:rRNA from 1 species